AAAGUACUCCCUCCGUCCCAAAAUUCUUGUCUUAGAUUUGUCUAGAUACGGAUGUAUCAAGUCACAUUUUAGUAUUAGAUACAUCCGUAUCUAGACAAAUUUAAGACAAGAAAUUUGGGACAGAGGGAGUAGUUG
rnacentral:pre_miRNA from 1 species